CACCAUCAAACAGCUGCACAGUAUCAAUCUGGGUAGAGCGCAUCUUUUAUCUACAGCAUCCGCAGACUCGCAACAGACCCAGUCCUGCAAGACUUAGCUCCGACUAGUCCCCCAUGGACCGUUCUCACAGCCCAGCACCCUCUAAUUGCACAUUAUUAGGAUUUAGCGCGUUUCACACAUAAACCGACGGUAUUCGAUUCGGUCCGUUUUGAAACUUUUCCUUCAGUUUUCUUUUUUCUUUUUAAACGGUUCUGGUCUUUAUCUUCCUCCAUGGAUGUGGUUGCUGCCAGGAUGCCCGGGAACCGAACGCUUCAACUGAUGCUGAACCAGAAAAAGAUCAAGGCUCGCAGAAAAAAGAGAAAGGAGUUGUUUCUGGGACAGAUAUGUAUUACUGGUUUUUUGCUGCUGGUUGUGUCGUGUUUUUCAUGCCUAGCCGAAAAAUCAGGUUAUGAUAUAUUAGGCUACACUACUGAAGAUGAUGGCAGAUGGAACAGCCGGAGACUGAUGCAGGAAGCGGACGCGAACAAAACAGAGGAAGAGCAACAAUCCCCACACCUGGAUAUAAACUGCACUGUGCCUGCUCUUCACGAAUUCCCUACUGAUAUUUUCUCAAUCAAGGAAAGGAAAGAAGGAGCAGUGGCACUGCAUGUGAUUUCUGCUAUGUACAUGUUUUAUGCCCUGGCUAUCGUCUGUGAUGACUACUUUGUGCCCUCCUUGGAGAAGAUUUCUGAACGUUUGCAGCUCAGUGAAGAUGUUGCCGGAGCUACAUUCAUGGCAGCAGGAAGCUCAGCUCCCGAGCUCUUUACCUCAGUCAUUGGAGUCUUUAUCACCAAGGGAGACGUGGGCGUUGGGACCAUUGUUGGAUCUGCAGUAUUCAAUAUCCUCUGCAUCAUUGGAGUCUGUGGGAUCUUUGCUGGGCAGACUGUUCAUUUGUCUUGCUGGACCCUUCUUCGGGACUCAUCUUACUAUACUCUGUCAAUUGUAGCUCUUAUUGUGUUUAUUCAUGAUGAGAAAGUGUCUUGGUGGGAGUCGUUGGUACUAGUCCUUAUGUACGUGGUGUACAUAGUGAUCAUGAAGUUCAACUACAGGGCGCGCCGUUAUAUUGAUCGCAGGAAGAAGACCAUAAUAAACAUGACCAACGGGACGACGAACAACACGGACAUUGAUGACGGCGGCAACUGUGAUGCCACUGUGGUGUUACUCAAGAAAGCGAAUUUCCAUAGUAAGGCCUCAGUCCUUAUGGUGGAUGAGCUGCUGUCUGCCUACCCUCACCAGCUCUCGUUCUCCGAUGCGGGCCUCAGGAUCAUGAUCACCAGCCACUUUCCCCCCAGAACCAGGCUCACCAUGGCCAGCCGCCUGCUCAUUACUGAGAGGCAGAAGCUGAUAAACAACAAGUCCUUCAGCAACGGCGAUUCAGAGGUGGCCCUCAGGAUAUCCAACAUGCACAGGAUCGAGAACGGACUGGGCACCUCCUCCGAGAGGGGCUUGAACGGUCGUCAUGGUGAGGAGGAUGGGAUUGAAGCAGGGAACGAGACGGAGAACGAAAACGAGGACAACGAGAACAAUGAGAAUGACGAGGAGGAAGAGGAAGAUGAUGACACCGAAGGACCCCUGGUGCCCUUUGAACUGCCAGCUGGUGCACUUAAUAAGGUCAAGUGGCUUGUUGGUUGGCCACUGAGUCUUCUGCUGUAUUUCACUGUCCCGAACUGCGCCAACCCCCGCUGGGAGAAAUGGUUCAUGGUCACCUUCGCAACAUCUACCAUCUGGAUCGCAGGCUUCUCCUACAUCAUGGUCUGGAUGGUGACAGUUAUCGGCUACACACUGGGAAUUCCUGAUGUGAUCAUGGGCAUCACAUUCUUGGCAGCUGGAACCAGCGUACCAGACUGCAUGGCCAGCCUCAUAGUGGCACGACAAGGUAUGGGGGACAUGGCAGUCUCAAACUCCAUUGGCAGCAAUGUGUUUGAUAUCUUAAUAGGACUGGGACUUCCUUGGGCACUGCAAACACUGGCCAUCGAUUAUGGCUCAUAUAUCCAUUUGAACAGCAAAGGACUGAUAUUUUCUGUGGGACUGUUAUUAGCUUCAGUUUUUCUCACAGUUGUGGCGGUUCACUUGAACAAGUGGAAGCUGGAUAAGAAGCUGGGGUUUGGUUGCCUUCUCUUGUACGCUAUCUUCCUGUGUUUCUCCAUCAUGAUCGAGUUCAAUGUCUUCACCUUUGUGAACUUGCCAAUGUGCCAAGAGCUCUGAUCCACUUUCAUGGCAGCUUGGGGGCACAUAGUUCCGGUUUCUGUCUUUGGUUUUAUAAAUUAUUUUUGUUCUAUGGUGCAAUACGAACAAGUUGUGCAUUUCUAUUGGGUACAGAAAAUAAUAUAUGGUGCACAGAAAGCCACAAAGCAUAUCUUUCAGACUUGUAAAAAAAAAAAAAAUUUCCUGCGUUGAUGUGAAUUUUUUUUUUUUUUUCUGAUUUUGACCUGACUUUUGCAAUGGAUUGUGGCAACUCCAGUUUCAUUUGCUGCUAACCAGUGGAGAGCUGUACAAAAGAGAAUGCUAUCAUGGAUUGCUUUUUUUAUUUGUCCCUUUUGUUUUUUUGAAGACUUCAAUUAUAUGUGACACCCUAAACUUAAUGAAAGGUACAGUUACCCAGAGAGGCCAAGUAUGGAAUGGACACAGAGACUGAACUAAUCUCUGUACCCCUAGGAAGGUGAUCUGAACUGAAGCACACAGAGGAGUCUGUUUGAGGAGGUUUUCUGUCUGUAUUGUUGACUGAUAGAGGAAUUUCACUGUACAGGAGGCAUUAAUCCAGCCAGUCGUCAUCAAAAUAUUACAAACAAAACUAUCCAGCAAGCAAGCAUUCACUGUGGAAUCUGCAUCUUGGUCACUAAGUGAUUUAAUUUAAUUUAAGCACUAGUGCUCUGUAGCAUUUAGCUGUGAAAGGCAUCAUAAUGAGGAAUUGGUCUGUACUCAGAGCAAGCUUCCUCUGUAUGGAUGUGUUGUCCGUCAUGUCAAUGCUGGAAUUCGUUGCUAUGUAGUCUACGUUUGUCUUAAUGUUUUCUUUUCUUUGAAAUUUAAGUGAAUUUGGCACAUUAAUAGUGGAUGAUAAACGAAAGCUGUGCCAUGCUGUACUGAAGCGCUCUUUAUUUAGUUAAGGUUGAUAACUCAGUAAUAACAAACCUGGCUGCAAACUAAGAUUUCAAAAAGGACUGCCAGCAGGUAAUUUCACUGAUUCUAGAAGUGUUAUAUUAGGUACAUGCACAAUGUUAGCUUUUAUUAUUAGUAUUUUACUGUUUAAGAUUGGACAAGGUGAACUGUCGUUUAGAAGGAUUGGUUUCUCUUUUAUAGUGUCACAGAACCAUUUGAAGGUGCCACAAAAGAUUACUUUUCUCUGAUAACUGUGUUGUUAAUUGUUAAUAGUUUUAAAAUAUUUUUAAAGAGAAUAAAACUGCAGACCUUUCAUUGGAAGAAUCUUGUACUGUGUACAUAGCUUGUAUACAUAGAUUAUUUCAAGUCUUCUUGUGUAAAGAUUUCUGCAAUUCAGUCAUCCUUGAUAUCACCCAGUCUCAUGUGGCAUUACAGACUGUUGCUGUAAUGAGGGGCUCCUGAUGGGCGCAUCCAGUAAAGGCACUCUGCAUGGAGUGCAGGAUGCGCCUUAUAGCCUGGAGAUCGCAGGUUCAGAUCCAGGCUACGUCACAGCCAACCGUGACCGGAGGUUCCUAAAGGGCGGCGCAUAAUUGGCAGAGUGUCGUCCGGAUAGGGAAGGGUUAGGUUGACUGGGCAAUCCACGGGUCACCACUCACCAGGCUGAUAGGGCACCUGCGGGUCUGCAGUGGAGCCAUUCAGAUCUGUGUUGUCCUCUGGCACUAUAGGUCUGGUG